CAAACCUCACCUCUCUGGAGUAAACGAAAAACCUAGCUCACCACCUUUACUUCCAGAACGAACACAGAAGAAUCCCCGAUUUUCCGCCUCCUCACUGUCAUUAGCACCGGAAUCAGAUGAUCUAUUCCUCACCUAACUCUCUCUGUAUCCUCCGUCACCCGUUCUUUAUGGAAGUUAGGAAAACCUAAAAUCCAUUUCCGCUGCUUCUGGAUCAUGGAAGUUUUUCUUUGUUUGUUCAGGGUUUAUAACGUGGAACUAGAUUUGAAACCCAAAUGAUAUAAGUCUUAUUAUCGAUUUUUUUUCUCUUAUUUUUUUCCUUACAUCACCAGAUUUGGUUUGAUUGAGUCUGUAUUGCGUUCAAUUUGGAAGUCAUUGCGUUUCCGAAUUUUCAUUAUUCAGCGUAAAUCGACAAAGUUCAGCAUUGAUUUGGGGAUCGGUCGAUCUUCAUUGAGAAUCGAAAUUGUUAGGGCUUCGAUUAUUCAAUUCUACGAACAAGAUGGAGACAGAUAUAGCUUAUGAUGUUGGUGCAAUGCAGAGACGGGGUGUUGCGAAAGCAGCUAAGCAUUUGGCAAUUUCUCAUAUUGUUCAACUCGUUGAGAGACGGGGUGGUGCGAAAGCAGCUAAGCAUUUGGCAAUUUCUCAUAUUGUUCAACUCGUUCAGAGGUUUGAACGAACUGAUGGUACCUCAUUUACGUCAUGACUGCCAAGUGUUGCCGGAUUGCCUGCUAAUAUAAAAGAAAUUAAGGAUGAGUUCAUCUUGUUGAUGAGCGUUUGCAUUUGUCUCUUUCUGAAUGAAGGACUCAUGCUGGUUGUUGCAACAAUUUGGUAAGAUAUAUGCUGGAGCAUUUUGGCUGUGAUUCGUACAGGUAACUGAUGCUUCUCUCUUCUGAAAACUUAACUGGAUACAAUCAUGUUCCAAAGUCGUUGAUUUGAUUUUAUGUAUGAAUAUCUGUUUUAUAGUUUGAUUCUUCACAAGACUAAACUUUGUGCUCCUGCACUUGCUCCAUUCAAGGCUUAUUACAAAGGUGAUGGUUUUCCCGAUGUGUUUGAUUUGUCAUUGUUGUCUCAUGUCAAGGUUCGUAAUCUUCACUCAAAUACCACUGUUAGGACCUUAAAGUUUAUUCAGCGUCAGUAGUCUGUCCAGUCUGAACUAACCCAAGAACAUCACCCUAAUAGUAUUGCUCAGCCAAGAACUCUUCUCUCUCUAACCAGAAUCCACCUCAUUUAUUUUGAUACUUCUUAUAUAGAGUCAAAUCGUACUAUUAGAAUUGGUAUAGUUCUUCUUGAUAAUGCAGGAAACUUCUGGGGUGCCAAAACAAUCCCAAGCACAGCAUGAGAUGCUUAACAUGCUGAAGUCAAGGCUCUUCUUGUGGCCGCACUAUGGGUUAACGUGCUGGAACUGCAGUUUACUUCAAAGGGGACUGAAGCUAUCACCAACUCUAUCAAUGCUUCUAAGUCUAGUGUUAAGCGGACUACCAUCAUUCUGAAGAUGUAUGCUAUGCUAUCUAGUGUUCAAAUCACCAUAGUUAACUAUUGCUGUUAUAGUCGUCUCUGUCAUGUUUUCUAGAUUUUUGGUGUAGUUAAUGUUAGUAUUAUUCGAAAAAAAUAUUGUCUUGGUUUCUGUGCAUGUGCAGUGCAGGAGUCAAUUUGUUUUGUAACAUUUGACAAGGUCUUAUUUGGAAUAAAAUUUCUGUUAAUUUUGGGUAAAUAAA